GUUCUUCUUCUCUUCGUUCUCGUAAGCCCUAAAAUCCUAAAUCCCUAAAACACCAAUUUCAGUCGCCCCAACAAUUCUCCCUCUGGCCUCAGCGGCGACGACGAGAACGCCGCCGCGACUUGCCACCUGCCCCCGCCGCAUCCUUGCUUCAUCUACCACCCACCGCGGCCCGCCACCCCUCAUUUGUGAUAAAGCAAUAAAUCAAAUCUUAAUUCAAAUUUGAGUUCAAUCAAACUCGUCACUCCCCGUCACUGCUCUGUUCUGUGGCUCUCGAAGUUGCCGGCCGCCGCUGUCCAGACCUCCCCCCCCAAUGAUUCUCGUAUCUCUCUCACUCUUCCCGGCGCAGCAAAUCAGCUCCACUCUUCCCCGACCCAACAAGCCAGUAAAUCGGUUCCUCUCUGCCCAGUCCCGUCGUUUCCUACGCCACUUCGGAGCUCCGAUGCUCAGCCCUUUCCCGUCUCCCCGCCUCCGACGCGGGCAGCCUUCAGUGAAAUUGGAAUUACUUUGCAGCAAAUCGAAAUAAGAAAAGAGCUUCUAAGUUGGAAGCUACACAUUAUGAGAAGGCGAAGGAACUAUACACGAAGAUUCUUGAGAGGAUGCUUCAAUUUUACAACAUAAGGAAAAAGAGAAAAGUGAAGGAAAUGUUCACAUUAUAUCCAUUUGUUGGAUUGCUCCAUGUUGCUGGAUACACACAUAAGUUUGAGAUUGCAGAGACAUGUUUUGGAAAGAUGGGGAGCCAUUUAGGAUAAUUGGAGGAGACUUGCAUUAUUUCCGAGUGCAUCCUGAGGUUUGUGGUGGAUUAAAUGAGUCGUACGUUGAGCUGAAGAGGCUUGUGAAUUCACAAGAAAAGUUGUACCAUAUGGCUAGCUAGUUGCAUAUUUAAUAUGUUUAGUAUUUUUGUAAGGCAUAAUAGUAUAGAUAGAGCAGUUGUUGAAUUUUGACUAUAUUCAAAUCUUGUAUGAAUUCUUUUUUAUGAUAAUAAUAUAAAAUUAAAUA